rnacentral:piRNA from 1 species
CAGUGGUCGGAGAUGUUGAGGAUG